UGUGUGUGUGUGUGUGUGUGUGUGUGUGUGUGUGUGUGUGUGUGUGUGUGUGUGUAGGGGGGAGAGAUGAAUUACUAGUUCUUGGCUUGACUUUGCUAUGGUUGGAUAAUACACUUUCUAUGAUUUUUACUCUCUGGAAUUUGUUGAAUUUAUCUUAUGGUUCAAGAUACAAUCUGUUUUGAUUUGUGUUUCAUUAGCACUUUAAACUGUCCACUCCACUGCUUGUGGGUGUUCUUUUGUUAGAUUGCUGUAUGAAUUAUUGGGAGAGGGACUCAAGUCUUCAACUAUAACUGCCUUGGUCUACUUGUUUCUUUUCUAUGAUUUUACUUAUUUAUUUCUAUUGUGCGCGUAUGUGUUGGGGAGGGGAUGCUCAUGUCAAAGCAUAUGCGUAGAGGUCAGAGGACAACUGGUGAAAUUGGUUCUAUUUCUUUCAUCAUUAUGGGCAUCCUAGGGGUUGAACUCAGAUGGCCAGGCUUGUGAGGCAAGUACCUUUGCCUACUGAGCUAGCUUGCCAGCCCCAUCAGCUGUAUGCUGCAACUCUGGUGUGUGGUAUAAGCACAUUUAGAGUUGCUGAAUGGUUGGGUCCUGCUGUUUGGUAUCUUAAAUCCAAGAUGGAAAUUCCUUCCUAUUAGUAUCUUUAGACUAUUUACAUUUAGUGUAAUUAUUUCUGUGUAAGGAUGUAUGUAUGCCAUUUCCCUUUCUGCAUUGUUUGUUGCAUUUGUACUUCCCACAGCGUGCUUGAAUAUUUUCUAUAAUUCCAUUUCUGUUUAGUGUCAGUCAUCUAAGUAAUGUAAAUUUAGUGUAAGAAUAUGAAUCACAUUGUUAGUAUUUACAUUUUCUCACAGGUGAAUUUUCCUCUGUGGUCUGCUCAGCACCAAGACUGUUUUCCCUAAAGUGCUUUGGGUGUAAAGCAGGAAAUGUGGCGGCUCAUUUGGGGACAAGAAGGUUUCAGAGAUGUGGAGAGAGUCUUCAAGAAGAGUCUCCCUCUUGGGAGGUCUCUGUUCUCUACAUGCUCAAAUCUGCACAGUCUGCUGUCCUUGAGGCACUGAUGGUUUUCAUACUUUGUUGUUGAUCAGGACCCACUUUCCCUUAUAUUUUAGGAUUUAAAUUUUCUUGCAGCUUUGUUUUGAACAGGAAUUGGUUUUGAUGACUUUGUUCCCCAGGUUCCUAAAAGUAGAAGAUUUGGAUCCUUUGCUUUGCUUCUCCCUCAGGAUAGAGCUGAGAAUUUUGUUCGGUGUAGUUUAUUUUUGUAAAAUACCGAGGAAAUAUGAGAUUUGAGUGGGGUUGGUUGGAAAAAGAAAGAGAAGACAGAAGACCUGGUCUGAGAUACCCCACUGAUCUGGAUUUCACUGUAGGAGGUGGGGGCUCAGCUGUGCCAAGGAUCCUCAGCAGCCAUGGAGACUGGCUCAGAAUUGUCCCACUGUGGGACCUGGAGGAGCAGGUUGAUCAGAAUUGCCCCAGAAGCUGAGUAGGCACCAAUGUCAAGACUUGGACUUCCCAGCCUCCAGAAUCACAAGCCAAAUGAACUUUUCUUCUUUAUAAAUGACCUCGUUACAGCAAUUCACCCAAGCUCUGUGUGUAACCACCCCCAACAAAACCUGAACAUCAUACAGAGGUCUCUGAGUCCACACCCGACAGCCAGGCCCUGGGUCUUCACCAUCUCCUUCGUUUUCACCAUCUUACAGACACACCCUCAUGUGGGCCACAGCUUUAGACACAAAAGCAAUGGAGGCACAAACUAAAACUUCUUAGGGUUGUAAGCCAAGGUGUUUUGUCUUUCAAGUCAUUUCUCCUCUUUUUGUUUGUUUGCUCGUUUGUUCAUUCAUUUGUUACAGUAAGUGAAAUGAACAUACUUUGGUUCCUAGGCCCAGAUUUCUACAACUAGCAAUGUGUGGAGAAUCAAAUGUAUGUCUCUCAUCCUUUCUCGUCCCCUUUAGAGUGACAAGACAUUUCAUUUCUGCAACCCACUGGGCUUUCUGACAACAUAGAGAUGAAAACAGAGGGGCAACGGCAGGGCUGUGUGGGCCUCUUUAUUGUUCCUGGGUGUGGGGCAUUACACACAGCGUGUGGCAGUCACUUAGCUGGUAAAAUAUCUCAAUAAAUAAACAAAUAAGCAACAUAUACACUGAACAGGGAAUAUAAAAGAAUGGCUAGCUGAGCAGGCCAUGAAGAAAUAAAGAGCAGGAGUGUGCCAGCAAGAAUUCCAGGCUUCCUCGGAACAGCCAUGGGAGGUCUGGGGCGGGAGGGGUCUUGGGUUCUUGUUCUAAGAGCCUUGGUCCAGUUUAAACAGGUUCUACAAGAAUGCAUGUCGGUUUUAUUUAAAAAUAUACAUUUAAAAAGGCACUUAGAGGGAAAUACAAAUCCAAUAUAUCCUUACAAAUGCACUCUUGAAUCUAGAGCUUUCCAGAAAGAUUCCCCCAAACUAAAACCCAGGAGGAUAAUCCAAUGAUGAGGACACAAAAGUCACUGGCAGGCAGGCAGGCAGGCAGGCUGGUGCCCAUCCCAUGGGGCAUCUCUGGGAAGGAUGUGAACCUGGGUCUGCUGUCCUGCGCCACUGUUGUCCCCUCUGAACACUCAGCUGGGGCACUGGGGGCUUGAAGAGCCACGAGGU